UCCAUGCCUGACACAGACUGGAAGAAAGAUGCAAAUUCUUUUAAAACCAGCGCUUAAUUAAUCGCUUAGAAAAACAACCCACUGCCAAAAAAUGUGUGGGGUUAUUUUUUGGUCUUUUUUUUUUUUUUCCCCUAGUUGAGAAAGCCUUUUCAGUUGAAAAGCUAAUUACAAGCGACGGCACACAGCAAAAUGCACGAAGGACAAAUCCGGCACCCUUUGAAAUCAACCCCUCGGAAGGAAGAAUUAGCAACCUGGACAGAGCUGCAGGCAACUCCAGCCCUCCUGCAUCUGCUGCUCGAUCACACUCACUCACAGCCAGCUCUGGUCCUUCCUCACCACACUGCAGAAAUCCUAGGAGAGAUGCGUAUCUAACACCUCAGACAAACACAGACAUUGACCCGAAAAUUAAAACUGCCAGGAAUAAAUGAUAACACAAAGAGAGCCCUGAGGAAACUGCACCUCCCACGUCUCCCUGCCAUGACGGCCAGCAGCGGUGCAGCAGCGCACGCUGACUCCAGCUGUGCAGCAGGGCUGGGGAGCCCAGCACCACCCCAGGAACCGCGUCCGCAGUGACUCAGGAGUGACUCAGUCAUGGCUCUGCUUCGGCUUCCUCCUUACUCCGGGGGGCGGAGGUAGGAAUUUCCUGCUGGCCCCGUCCUUGUAAAUCACCACGUCCUGUUGCAGUUGUGCUGCCGGGAGGGUCAGAUAGUGGGAGAACUGGAGCUGCCUCGUCACCUGCAUGGGAGGAGGAAGGAUGGGGCUCACUGCUUGCCUGGGCGCACGCUGAGAUGAUGCUCAGGGGCAGCACAGCAGGUCCCUGGGUCUCCCAGUCUCACAUCCAACCUGUAGCACAGCCCUGACCCCUUCGCAAUGUGACUGAAACAGCACGCUGUGCAUCCAGCAGCACAAGAACCCGAUCGCCUUCCUACAAAAUCACGAAUCACUCGGAUACAACCCAGCUAAUUUCUCAUGAGGGUCCUUUCUGAACUUUUCUAUGAUUCUGUGAAGGCAGCAUCAUAAGUGAGAAGAGCAUCCAGUCCUACAUGUCUGCAUGGCAUCCCCUUGCCUGUGAAUUUGAAGAUGAAAAAGAAGGCAGUUGGUGGAGGCUCUGGGACAACUCCACCAACUCAACAGCGCCCUGUGAAAAUCUUCCCAGUUGUCUCACAGAAAAGCUGGAUUUAAUGAUAGUUGUAGCUAGAGGGACUUCCCUAUUGCAAAAGAACCCAAAAACAUGAACAAGUUGUGUCACAGUAACCUGGAGAAAAUUCCAAGUACAACUAAGAGAAAAUGGGUGAUGUGUAAUAGGGGAGGGAAACAUAUCAGCCUUGUGAAGGCCAGCUUCCAGAACAGAUCCAACCUGUUCACUGAUGAAAAUCCAUCUUUGGAGGAAGAAACUGAAGGAAUGAAAGGAGAAGGAGGAUGCUGGCAGAGAUGCUGAGCAGAAGUCCUGAUCAUACUCCAGGGAUGCUGAGGAAAGACCACGUUUAGCUUGCAUCAGAUACACGCAGCACGUACAAGUUAAGUAUGCCAUAGGAGCCCUUCCUUCCAACUGCACAAACAGAAGUAGACUGAUAGAAAGUACUCACCUGAUGCACGGACAUGUUGGAUGCUGCUUAAUUAUUUCACUUAAAGUAAUUGUUUAGUACCACACAAAGAAUACAAUACAGGGACAUUAAUAACACCUACCUGUAAGGGACCAGUGAAAAACACUUUCUGGGGGUCAGACCAGGGCUACCACAACAGGAUUGUAGCUCUUCAACUAUCAUGGUAUAGUUAUGUGACUUGUCACCAGGUGUGGACACGGUGGGAUUUUUCAGCUUCUCUCUAUGUUUUCAAUUGCAUACCUUUACACCAGUUUAAUUUCAUCUUUUCUGGGCUUAACACUGCUUUAGCUACAGCAGGGAAAGAUAACAGUGUUCAUCCAAUGGAGGAACAAAGAAACAUGCUUGCAGGGAAAUCAUGGCUAGAGACUAGGACUGCUACAUGCAUUUUAUAUUUCCGACACUAAAGGCGGAGUUUGGGUGCAGUCAGAAGGUAAUGGAAUAAACUGGAAUGAAUUUUGACA